ACUGUGAAGUCACAAGAGGCCCUGAGCUCUGUGGGCCCCAGGUGCCCCGGGAAAACUUGGGGGAGAAUGGGCAUCCCACCCCAGCACUUUCUAGGAAGAAGGGCAGCAUUUUGAAGGGCUGGAAGUAGAGGAAGGAGGUUGCGGGUAGAAGACUCCAUACUUUCUGUGACGCCUAUUCCUUAGCUUGUGAUGAAUGUUUUCUCAGUAUCCUAUGCUGAAAACAGAACAACAGAAGUUUCAACAUUCUGCCAACAGAGUAACUCCUGGAAGAUUGGCACAGAAGAAGGCACAAGGAGAGCCUUUAUAUAACCAAAGAUAUUUUUGGACCAUGAAUUCAGAAAUUCUCGGAGCCACCCAUCAGUGCCUGAGCUUCAGUGAGUCCAUAUCCCAUGUCACCCACGGCAAAGGAGACUCUAAGACUUCUGAAGAGUUUCUUGCUUCUUUCCUGUGGGGCAGUGACUCCACUUCCCAGCAGUAAUGGAAUAUCCUGAAUUAGCUACAUUAAUGUUAGAACCAUUUGGACCUCACCCAGGACUUCAACUACAUUAUGCUAAAGUUACAGAACCCAAAUUUGGCAACUGUCUGCAUCUGAACAACAGAAGUUUCAACAUUCUGCCAACAGAGUAACUCCUGGACGAUUGGCACAGAAGAAGGCACAAGGCAAAUACCCAUCUCUGUACACCCUGUGCUACUGUGUCAUGUGCUGCUCCAGGCAACUCCAAUGGAUUGGCCACCCUGGCCAAUGUAAUCCUAGAAUGUAGAGAUGAUGGGGACUUCAGAGAUUCUUUAAUCCAAACCCUUUAUUUAAUGGAAGAAGGGAAAAAGGUCUAGAGAAGCUGUGACUUCUCUCAGAUCACACAAUAAAUUAGUUGCUGAGGUUCUAGUAUGUUACGUUUAUGUUCCCCUGCUUUCUACAAUCCUGUUCAAAGAGUUGCUGACUUAACCACAGAGAGGAUUCCAGAACCUGAGACACAGAAUAAACUUGAGCAAUCAUAGUCCAUCCACUUCAUUGUCUCAUCAAAAACCAAAGGUCCAGUGAAGCUCUGGAACUCAACGCUGUAAAGGAGCGAAGGAGCUUCUAUACAGAGCCUGGAUGCCUGUCUCCUUAUCCUACUUCAGUGGACUUGACUGCAAUCCGGAUUAUGCUGUUUUCUAAGCAUUUAAAAUAAAAUAAAAAGUAUAAUAGUGUGAUAAGUUCUUUCACAAAGCAAGCAAUCACAUUUAUGUUUCUACUUACAUUUGGGUUUUCCAAAUAUGUGUGUGUGUGUGUGUGUGUGUGUGUGUGUGUGUAUGUAGACUUUAAACAUGGUGCAUCCAUCAUGUUGCACUAAAUCAAAACCACCAAAUAAUGAUGUAGAACUAAUAAAUCAAAACCAUCAAAUAAUGACAUAGAAAUCCAAUUCUCCCACCUUACACCCAUUAAGAUGGCUACU
rnacentral:lncRNA from 1 species